GACGAACGCUGGCGGCGUGCCUAAUACAUGCAAGUCGAACGGAGCGGCGGACGGGUGAGUAAUGCCUAGGAAUCUGCCUGGUAGUGGGGGAUAACGUCCGGAAACGGGCGCUAAUACCGCAUACUAUCAGAUGAGCCUAGGUCGGAUUAGCUAGUUGGGGGGGUAAAGGCCUACCAAGGCGACGAUCCGUAACUGGUCUGAGAGGAUGAUCAGUCACACUGGAACUGAGACACGGUCCAGACUCCUACGGGAGGCAGCAGUGGGGAAUAUUGGACAAUGGGCGAAAGCCUGAUCCAGCCAUGCCGCGUGUGUGAAGAAGGGCUUCGGAUUGUAAAGUACUUUCAGUCGGGAGGCGUUACCGACAGAAGAAGCACCGGCUAACUCCGUGCCAGCAGCCGCGGUAAUAC
rnacentral:rRNA from 1 species